rnacentral:rRNA from 1 species
GAUGAACGCUGGCGGCGUGCCUAAUACAUGCAAGUCGAACGAAACUUCUUUAUCACCGAGUGCUUGCACUCACCGAUAAAGAGUUGAGUGGCGAACGGGUGAGUAACACGUGGGCAACCUGCCCAAAAGAGGGGGAUAACACUUGGAAACAGGUGCUAAUACCGCAUAACCAUAGUUACCGCAUGGUAACUAUGUAAAAGGUGGCUAUACUACCGCUUUUGGAUGGGCCCGCGGCGCAUUAGCUAGUUGGCAGGGUAAAGGCUUACCAAGGCAAUGAUGCGUAGCCGAAUUGAGAGGUUGAUCGGCCACAUUGGGACUGAGGCACGGCCCAAACUCCUACGGGAGGCAGCAGUAGGGAAUCUUCCACAAUGGGCGAAAGCCUGAUGGAGCAACGCCGCGUGGGUGAAGAAGGUCUUCGGAUCGUAAAACCCUGUUGUUAGAGAAGAAAGUGCGUGAGAGUAACUGUUCACGUUUCGACGGUAUCUAACCAGAAAGCCACGGCUAACUACGUG